rnacentral:rRNA from 1 species
CGCCAGACUCCUACGGGAGGCAGCAGUGGGGAAUAUUGCACAAUGGGGGGAACCCUGAUGCAGCGACGCCGCGUGGGUGAAGGAGUAUUUCGGUAUGUAAAGCCCUAUCGGCAGGGAAGAAGCAAGACGGUACCUGACUAAGAAGCCCCGGCUAACUACGUGCCAGCAGCCGCGGUAAUACGUAGGGGGCGAGCGUUAUCCGGAUUCACUGGGUGUAAAGGGAGCGUAGACGGCCAUGCAAGCCAGGGGUGAAAGCCCGGGGCCCAACCCCGGGACUGCCCUUGGAACUGUGCGGCUAGAGUGCGGGAGGGGCAGGCGGAAUUCCUGGUGUAGCGGUGAAAUGCGUAGAUAUUAGGAGGAACACCAGUGGCGAAGGCGGCCUGCUGGACGAUGACUGACGUUGAGGCUCGAAAGCGUGGGGAGCAAACAGGAUUAGAUACCCGCGUACG